rnacentral:rRNA from 1 species
UACGAAGGGGGCUAGCGUUGUUCGGAAUUACUGGGCGUAAAGCGCGCGUAGGCGGAUCAGGAAGUUGGGGGUGAAAUCCCGGGGCUCAACCCCGGAAUGGCCUUCAAAACUCCUGGUCUUGAGUUCGAGAGAGGUGAGUGGAAUUCCGAGUGUAGAGGUGAAAUUCGUAGAUAUUCGGAGGAACACCAGUGGCGAAGGCGGCUCACUGGCUCGACACUGACGCUGAGGUGCGAAAGCGUGGGGAGCAAACAGG